rnacentral:rRNA from 1 species
GAGCGCACGCCGCCUUCGGUGUUCCGGCGUCGUAGUCGUGCACUUCUCCCCUAGUAGAACGUCGCGACCCGUUGCGUGUCGGUCUACGGCCCGAGCGGUAGCCUGUCCCGUCUCGCCUCGUGCGUGCGUGGACAGACCCUCGGUCGCCCGGCCGGCUGCGCGACGGUACUCGCACGGUAUCGGGCCGCAGCGGUCGAAACGUUCUCGAACGUUUUUGCACGCGUGCGUCAGGCCCGUCGCAAGCUGGCUCAGUUCUCACCCUGGAGGUUACGGACCCGGUGCCGUCCCCGGGCCUGGCCAGCUGUUGGCCGACGGUGUCCUCUGACUGUGUCCAUAUAAACUUACCGGUCGGCGACGCUAUUGCUUUGGGUACUCUCAGGACCCGUCUUGAAACACGGACCAAGGAGUCUAACAUGUGCGCGAGUCAUUGGGAUCGAUAUUGAAACCUAAAGGCGGAAUGAAAGUGAAGGU